rnacentral:tRNA from 1 species
AUUCUUGUAGUAUAGUCCUAAUAUACUAGUUUGUCAUACUAGAGACCCCUUGUAGGGUAAGAAUU